UACGUAGGGGGCGAGCGUUGUCCGGAUUUAUUGGGCGUAAAGAGCUCGUAGGCGGCUUGGCAAGUCGGGUGUGAAAACUCCAGGCUCAACCUGGAGACGCCACCCGAUACUGCUGUGACUCGAGUCCGGUAGGGGACCACGGAAUUCCUGGUGUAGCGGUGAAAUGCGCAGAUAUCAGGAGGAACACCGGUGGCGAAGGCGGUGGUCUGGGCCGGCACUGACGCUGAGGAGCGAAAGCGUGGGGAGCGAACAGG
rnacentral:rRNA from 1 species